rnacentral:piRNA from 1 species
AACCAUCUUUCUCACUGUCUGAGCUGAAG